rnacentral:lncRNA from 1 species
UCAGCUGAGUGGAAGCAGUAAGUUUUAUUACCUGGCAUCCAAGAUCCCCAAGGCCUAGAAUCCGCUCACCGUCGGUAACAACAAUAACUUGAAUGUUCCUUUCUGGCCAGUUCUUCAAAACUUCAAGAAUCUUGCCCCUGGAAAGGUAAAUUGUUGAUUACCAAUUAAGAACGAAUGCAACUAAUCAUACAUUAUAAAUGCUAGUUUAAUGACAUACUUCUCUUUCAAACUGAUGAAAAGGCCUUGAGGUCGUCUAUAAACGCUCCCAUACUUCUGGCAAGCUUCGCCUACGGUUGGAGUGUACACAAUUGGAAGCAGUUCUUCAACAUUAUCAAUGAGAAGCUUGUAGAACAACCUUUCAUUUCUCUCCUGCAAGAUCAAAUGAUAGUAGACAUGAAGGAAAAUUUGUGGUAUGGCCAGGUAGAACAAAGGUACAACUACAAACAUCAAUUGAGAUAAGGAGGCAAAGUACAUUCUUUAAUUGGGUUGUCUAACAGGCUUUGAUAAAUUAACAUCUUACAUAUCAUAAGUAAUAAGAUUUAGAGUCUUGUUUGUGUGCAGUUUAAUGAUAUGACUAAAAAGUGAAAAUUUUGGAUCGCCACACAGUUCCAAGUCCCAACUUCUAUAAGAAAUCAUAAACAAUUUCGACUCCAAGAUAAUUUUAACAUUUAUAUAAGGUCAAAGUAAUCUUAGGACUUUUGAAAGAAUAAUAAUAUUUUUAAACAAAAAGCAUAGUUUAGAGAUACGUUUUAAUAAUAUAGCCUAAAAAUUCAAUUCCAAAGACAAACCCCACAGCUCCUUAUAUCAAUGACACUCAUAUUUUUCAUCUAAUGAUCUUUAACUCAUUAGCUGCAGAGAGAGGAAUCAAAUAGCAAAAUUAACAAUAAACAAGUGAAACAUCUAUCGAACCUGAAGAUCCAUCAUGGCAAUAUAUCUGUGUAGUGGAACUUCAUAGUUGCGAAGAUUAUGCAUCAUCCUCCUUUCCUGCUUCCCACAAAAAAAAAAAAAAUGUGUAAACAAGCAUCAAAUCAAUACCAUAAAAAAAGAAAAAGUGUUAAGCUAUCAACAAAGACAAACAGAAAAUGUAAAGUAAGAGAGUGUGGACAAAAAGAUUUGCAUAGUUUGCUAUCAGUAUCUUAAGUUUAUUAUUAGAGAGAAAAUAUCAUAUAACAUAAUCAAGACGCCACUAGCGUGAGACAUCUUAGGUAGUGUACCCCUCUGAAUUUUAACUCGACCAUCCCAAACACAAGAUAGGAAGACAUUCCAACAAAAAAGUAAAUAAAAGGGAAAAUGGUAGAACUAGAAAGAUCUAAACUUUACCUGAAGCUCUUGAUCAAUAACUGCUGGUGGCAACAAGCCACGCAAGUAAUGAGCAUCUCUUUCUUUUUCACUAAAGGCGAGGCCUUUGUUGUAGAUCGGAUCACGCAGUAAAGAAUAACCACUAAAACAACAAAAGACAGACAAAAAUGAGAAAAUUUUCAAGUUAGAACAAAUGCAAAAACAACCACAAAAAAAUAAUAAUAAUAAAUAAACAGAACGUGUUUUUAGUAGCAAAUAUCUUCCUUAAAAUCCCUUACCUAGCAACAGAGACUGUCCAAGGAGUAAUGAGCUGAUCUUCAGUAGCAUUGUGUUCUCCAUAGGCUUCUUCAAACUUAUUGUCAAUUUCUUCCAUGUCCAUAUGAACACUACCGUUGCUCAUUGUCUUCUUCAUUGAACUCUCCAUUGAUCCCAAAGCUUCAAUCUCAAAUCUCCUUCCUCUACACACCAAGUUUCUCUGCGAAUGGCAGAAAGUUAAAGCGAAAACAAAGGCAACACAGAGAGAAUGGAAAUACAGAAGGAAUUUGGUGGAAAUGAAAGCAGCAAGAUUCGUGUUUUAUAGUGAAUGAAAAAAUAAAAAAAAAUAAAAAAAUUCUUUGCUUAUUCUUUGAUUGAUUUGCUUUGUCAACGAAUUAUGGCGACAAUGUGAAGAGCAUAAACGACCCACGUGGACUAAUUGAUUUUAAGAAUUCAACAAACCCCAUUAAAAAAUAUAUAAAAUUUUAAAAUAAAAAAGUGAACCUUUUCUUCUUUUCUUUUGGUAUUAUUACCAGAUAUUGAUGUCGGAGGAAGAAGAGCAUAAUUGUGAAAAUGGAAAUAGAAAUUAGGAUGAAAAGAAAAGAAGAAGGAAUUGAAAGGUUUCCGCGUUUUCUUGAGUGAGAAACAGAAGGAGGGUGGUGACUGGUUGAAGAAGAGGGACUAAAGUUUCAAACUUUGAGGAUUGAAUUCACUUUCAUUUCACUCCUUCCUUUCCCAUCUAUUUUCUUUUUUGCCCCCAAACUCCUUUUUUCUUUUUUUCUUUUUUUCUUUUUUUCUUUCUUUUUGCUUAACUUCAUACAAAAUAUUCCAAAACUUUUCCAUCACUUUCCAUUCUUUUAAAUUACAAAAUAUUAUAAUAUAUAUCUUAGUCUAUAUUACUCAUCAAAACUUUGUUAUAUUUUAUAAAUCUUUUGAUUCAUUUCGAUAUAUUUAAAAAUAGUCUUUUAUUUUUAUUUUGGAGAACUUCUGAAACCUGCAACGGAUACUGCAACGGAUGAAAGAUCGUAUGUCGAGCCUUGCGCAAGAGAAACUUUCGCCGAUUCUUAUAUGGGUUCAACCUGUCAAUAUUCUUUGAACCUCAUUUUUCUAAUGGAAGGAAGACCGUAAACUCCUUCGCGAAAUUAUGAUUUCUAAAAAAUAACCUAAAACUUUUAAGUUAUGAGACAUUUUUUUAAAUAGCAAAAUAAAUUAAAACAUUUACAAAUUAUAGCAAAAUUUUGGAUUCUAUCACUAAUAAUCG